rnacentral:lncRNA from 1 species
CCUGCAAUAGGCAGCAUGGAGAACAGCUUCUUUUCAUCCACCUAGUCCCAUUCCAUCUCCUUAGUGAACAUCUGCUGUAGGGACCUGCAGUCUCUGUUUAUGGCAAGGACUUUCUGAAUAUUGAAUCAUCUUUCACAUUCUACAGAAGUCACAGAAGCCAACACACAACUCCAGAGUUAAACAUAUUAAACCCCUGUCAUCAGAGAGAACUUUCAAAAAAUCUUGAGAUGGGACCCAUUGGCUCAGACUGAGUCAGAUGUCUACCCUUGGACCAAUCAACUGUGGUCUCUGUGAAUGUAGGCUACUAUUAUUGCCCUAUUUGAGUUUUCUUCCCACUCAUGAGCCAAUCAACUCUAGACAGAAAAGGGAAUGAUCUGAAGCUUGGAAGUUCUCACAGGAACCCUAUAAAUGAAGAAGAGGACAGGACAUGUUUUAAGACAAAGAAAAACGCUAUGCAACCAAAAUACAUCUACUACAAUAACAGUGAUUAUUAAAAAGUCAUUUAAUUUCUCUAAGCCUCAAUUUUCUCUUCUCUAAAAGUGUAUGAAUUGUCUAUUGCUAUGGAUAUGUAUCAAAUAAGAUACUUUAAAAGUUUUAAAUGACAAACUUCUAUACAGUUCUAAAAGGUUGCUCUGAUUAUUACACUGGUGUCACCAAAGUGGUUUCUAGAUUCUAUUUCUGCAGAGCUUUCAUUUGUAAAAUUGGAAUGAUUUUCUCUACUUUUUAUGGUUAUGGAC